rnacentral:rRNA from 1 species
AACGAACGCUGGCGGCAUGCCUAACACAUGCAAGUCGAACGGGACCGUCGGGUCUUUUGGCGCACGGCUGCGUGCCGCGGGGGAACCUGCACUUAGGUUAGGUAUCCCUCACCGUAGGGGGUGCUCAUACCGGAUAGUCUCAUCCGACCUAAGAUUUUUCGCCAUUGGAUGGGCGCGCGUUGGAUUAGCUAGUUGGUAGGGUAAAAGCAUACCAAGGCGACGAUCCCUAGCUGGUCUGUGAGGAGGAUCAGUCACACUGGGACUGAGGCACGGACCAGUAUCGGACGGAAGGGAGCAGUGGAGAAUAUUGGGGGAUGGGCGAUGGUCUGAUCCAGCAGUGCCGGGUAAGUGAUGAAGGCGUUAGUGUUGUAAAGCUGUUUUAGACGAGACGAUAAUGACAGUACCGGGAGAAUAAGCUCCGGCUAACUACGUG